rnacentral:lncRNA from 1 species
AAAGUUCCAAAGUACCAUUCAUAAGGAUAAUUUAAUAAAAUAAACACAUAAUUAUUAGUAUCUCUUAAGAGAAAUACAAAAUACAAAAUGGAUAUAACUAACUACAAUUAAUUAUCUUUAUUUUUGGUACAUUAACAAAACAAAGAUUUUAAAAUCGUUCAUAAGCAACACAACUUAAGGACGAAUAUCAAAGCUUCUUUCAUUAAGGUCAUUUGUACCCUUAUAGGACUCGUUCAAUAUGGAGGUGGGGGAGGAAAUAAUGUUGACCUAGCUCGUUGGCCAGUUAUUGGCCCACCCUUUGGUGGUGGUGGUGGAGGUGGCAUAGGUCUCCGCCGAGCUGAAACAGCCAGCAGUGGCCAUAUUCCUAUAUCUAUAGAGGCUUUGUGUAUACAUCUAUUGUGAAAAAUGGACAUUUGAUCUUGUAUAACUAGUGAUGCGAUGAUAAAAGUUAAAAUAAUCUUCAUUUCUUUAAGUUAAAAUAAAGUUUCUUCUCUUCUUAUUAUUUUGGUUAGAAUUUAUAGGAAUAUGAUUUGUUAGGAGGCCUUGAAUUAGUAAAAAUAAAUGAGAAAAU